rnacentral:rRNA from 1 species
CACGUAGGGCGCAAGCGUUGUCCGGAAUUAUUGGGCGUAAAGAGCUCGUAGGCGGUUUGUCGCGUCUGCUGUGAAAACUCGGGGCUUAACCCUGGGCCUGCAGUGGGUACGGGCAGACUAGAGUGCGGUAGGGGAGACUGGAAUUCCUGGUGUAGCGGUGAAAUGCGCAGAUAUCAGGAGGAACACCGGUGGCGAAGGCGGGUCUCUGGGCCGUAACUGACGCUGAGGCGCGAAAGCGUGGGGAGCAAACAGG